GAGUUGCACCCUUCAGAUUUUUCAGGGGUCACCCCCAAGAAAAGGGAGAUCCAAACGCCAAAUCCAAUGCUAACCCCUUCUGCAACUCCUGGAGGUGCUGGCUUUACUCCUCGAAUUAGCAUGACACCAUCAAGGGAUGGGUACUCUUUUGGUAUGACACCAAAAGGAACUCCCAUCAGGGAUGAACUCAAUAUAAACGAAGACAUGGAUAUGCAUGAUAGCGCCGCGCAAAGCUUGAGCGACAAAGACAAGCUGAUCUAAGAAGGAACUUGCGGUCUGGUCUUAGUAAUCUUCCACAGCCC
rnacentral:misc_RNA from 1 species